rnacentral:snRNA from 1 species
AUACCUGGCAGAGGAGAAAAAAUAAUCACGUAGGUGUUUUUCCCAAGGUGAGGCUAAUCCCUUAUACGCUGAAUGUGCUGAUUCCUGUGAUUUCCCCAAGUUGGGAAACUCGAGGGCAUAGUUUUUGGUAAGUGGGGGAUGGAGUCGCGCUUCCCCUUG